rnacentral:rRNA from 1 species
UCGAGAAUCUUUUGCAAUGGGCGAAAGCCUGACAAAGCGACGCUGUGUGGACGAUGAAGGCCUUCGGGUUGUAAAGUCCUUUCGCGCAAGAACAAGAGAGGUCGCCUAAUAAGCGGCCGAUUUGAGGGUACUGCGUAAAGAAGCACCGGCUAACUCCGUGCCAGCAGCUGCGGUAAUACGGAGGGUGCAAGCAUUAAUCGGAUUGACUGGGCGUAAAGGGCGCGUAGGCGGAUGUACAAGUCAAAUGUGAAAUUCCGGAGCUCAACUUCGGAGCGGCAUUUGAGACUGUAUGUCUAUAGAGGGAUGGCGGAGAAAACGGAAUUCCGUGUGUAGCGGUGAAAUGCGUAGAUAUACGGAAGAACACCGGUGGCGAAAGCGGUUUUCUAGCUAUUACCUGACGCUGAGGCGCGAGAGCAUGGGGAGCAAACAGGAUUAGAUACCCGUGUAGUCC